rnacentral:rRNA from 1 species
UACCUACGGGAGGCAGCAGUGGGGAAUAUUGCACAAUGGGGGAAACCCUGAUGCAGCGACGCCGCGUGAGUGAAGAAGUAUUUCGGUAUGUAAAGCUCUAUCAGCAGGGAAGAAGCAAGACGGUACCUGACUAAGAAGCCCCGGCUAACUACGUGCCAGCAGCCGCGGUAAUACGUAGGGGGCAAGCGUUAUCCGGAUUUACUGGGUGUAAAGGGAGCGUAGACGGUAUGGCAAGUCUGAAGUGACAGCCCAGGGCUUAAC